rnacentral:rRNA from 1 species
UGGGGAAUUUUGGACAAUGGGCGAAAGCCUGAUCCAGCAAUGCCGCGUGUGUGAAGAAGGCCUUCGGGUUGUAAAGCACUUUUGUCCGGAGAGAAAUCCUUGGCUCUAAUACAGUCGGGGGAUGACGGUACCGGAAGAAUAAGCACCGGCUAACUACGUGCCAGCAGCCGCGGUAAUACGUAGGGUGCAAGCGUUAAUCGGAAUUACUGGGCGUAAAGCGUGCGCAGGCGGUUUGCUAAGACCGAUGUGAAAUCCCCGGGCUCAACCUGGGAACUGCAUUGGUGACUGGCAGGCUAGAGUAUGGCAGAGGGGGGUAGAAUUCCACGUGUAGCAGUGAAAUGCGUAGAGAUGUGGAGGAAUACCGAUGGCGAAGGCAGCCCCCUGGGCCAAUACUGACGCUCAUGCACGAAAGCGUGGGGAGCAAACAGGAUUAGAUACCCUGGUAGUCCACGCCCUAAACGAUGUCAACUAGUUGUUGGGGAUUCAUUUCCUUAGUAACGUAGCUAACGCGUGAAGUUGACCGCCUGGGGAGUACGGUCGCAAGAUUAAAAGCUU